GUGGUACAAUCAGAAUAUACGGCCUGAAGGAUGGCUUGUUUGUAACACACCCAACAGGAAUCUGAGGUCAUCGUGAUUAGGGGCAAAAAACUUGUGGCCUCCCUACAAAUUCUCUAUAUACAAAA